rnacentral:rRNA from 1 species
UACGGAGGAUCCGAGCGUUAUCCGGAUUUAUUGGGUUUAAAGGGUGCGUAGGCGGCCAGUUAAGUCAGGGGUGAAAUACGGUGGCUCAACCAUCGCAGUGCCUUUGAUACUGACGGGCUUGAAUCCAUUUGAAGUGGGCGGAAUAAGACAAGUAGCGGUGAAAUGCAUAGAUAUGUCUUAGAACUCCGAUUGCGAAGGCAGCUCACUAAGCUGGUAUUGACGCUGAUGCACGAAAGCGUGGGGAUCGAACAGG